rnacentral:rRNA from 1 species
UAUCUACCCUUUGGCCUGGAAUAACACGAGGAAACUUGUGCUAAUACUGGAUAAGUCUUUACGGAGAAAGCUUUAUGCACCAUUGGAUGAGCCCGCACUUGAUUAGUUUGUUGGUGGGGUAAUGGCCUACCAAGACUGUGAUCAAUAGCUGAUUUGAGAGGAUGAUCAGCCACAUUGGGACUGAGACACGGCCCAAACUCCUACGGGAGGCAGCAGUGGGGAAUCUUGCACAAUGGAGGAAACUCUGAUGCAGCGAUGCCGCGUGAGUGAAGAAGGCCUUUGGGUUGUAAAGCUCUUUCGUCGGGGAAGAAAAUGACUGUACCCGAAUAAGAAGGUCCGGCUAACUUCGUGCCAGCAGCCGCGGUAAUACGAAGGGACCUAGCGU